UUUACGGAGAGUUUGAUCCUGGCUCAGGACGAACGCUGGCGGCGUGCUUAACACAUGCAAGUCGAACGAUGAUGCCCAGCUUGCUGGGUGGAUUAGUGGCGAACGGGUGAGUAACACGUGAGUAACCUGCCCCUGACUCUGGGAUAAGCGUUGGAAACGACGUCUAAUACUGGAUAUGAUCACUGGCCGCAUGGUCUGGUGGUGGAAAGAUUUUUUGGUUGGGGAUGGACUCGCGGCCUAUCAGCUUGUUGGUGAGGUAAUGGCUCACCAAGGCGACGACGGGUAGCCGGCCUGAGAGGGUGACCGGCCACACUGGGACUGAGACACGGCCCAGACUCCUACGGGAGGCAGCAGUGGGGAAUAUUGCACAAUGGGCGAAAGCCUGAUGCAGCAACGCCGCGUGAGGGAUGACGGCCUUCGGGUUGUAAACCUCUUUUAGUAGGGAAGAAGCGAAAGUGACGGUACCUGCAGAAAAAGCACCGGCUAACUACGUGCCAGCAGCCGCGGUAAUACGUAGGGUGCAAGCGUUGUCCGGAAUUAUUGGGCGUAAAGAGCUCGUAGGCGGUUUGUCGCGUCUGCUGUGAAAUCCCGAGGCUCAACCUCGGGCUUGCAGUGGGUACGGGCAGACUAGAGUGCGGUAGGGGAGAUUGGAAUUCCUGGUGUAGCGGUGGAAUGCGCAGAUAUCAGGAGGAACACCGAUGGCGAAGGCAGAUCUCUGGGUCGUAACUGACGCUGAGGAGCGAAAGCAUGGGGAGCGAACAGGAUUAGAUACCCUGGUAGUCCAUGCCGUAAACGUUGGGCGCUAGAUGUAGGGACCUUUCCACGGUUUCUGUGUCGUAGCUAACGCAUUAAGCGCCCCGCCUGGGGAGUACGGCCGCAAGGCUAAAACUCAAAGGAAUUGACGGGGGCCCGCACAAGCGGCGGAGCAUGCGGAUUAAUUCGAUGCAACGCGAAGAACCUUACCAAGGCUUGACAUACACCGGAAACGGCCAGAGAUGGUCGCCCCCUUGUGGUCGGUGUACAGGUGGUGCAUGGUUGUCGUCAGCUCGUGUCGUGAGAUGUUGGGUUAAGUCCCGCAACGAGCGCAACCCUCGUUCUAUGUUGCCAGCGGGUUAUGCCGGGGACUCAUAGGAGACUGCCGGGGUCAACUCGGAGGAAGGUGGGGAUGACGUCAAAUCAUCAUGCCCCUUAUGUCUUGGGCUUCACGCAUGCUACAAUGGCCGGUACAAAGGGCUGCGAUACCGUAAGGUGGAGCGAAUCCCAAAAAGCCGGUCUCAGUUCGGAUUGAGGUCUGCAACUCGACCUCAUGAAGUCGGAGUCGCUAGUAAUCGCAGAUCAGCAACGCUGCGGUGAAUACGUUCCCGGGCCUUGUACACACCGCCCGUCAAGUCAUGAAAGUCGGUAACACCCGAAGCCGGUGGCCUAACCCUUGUGGAAGGAGCCGUCGAAGGUGGGAUCGGUGAUUAGGACUAAGUCGUAACAAGGUAGCCGUACCGGAAGGUGCGGCUGGAUCACCUCCUUU
rnacentral:rRNA from 1 species